rnacentral:tRNA from 1 species
GAAUAUGAAGCGAUAAAUUGCAAUUAGUUUCGACCUAAUCUUAGAUGUAGUCAUCCUUAUUCU